AUGAAUGCCAAUAUUAUUUGUUUCUGUUUUGAGCUCUGUUUCCGUAUCCGGUUUUGCUUUUGUGUUAAUCCAAGAUUUGUUUCUGCUUUAGUUCAAGACUGUUCUGGAAAGGGUUUGAAUACAAGAUCUGAUUCUGCUUCUAUGAUUGAUUCGCACAGUAGGUGUUUGCGACUUGGGCCAUGCUUUUUCUUUGGACUGGGUCGGACUUGUUCUUUGGAUUUGGGCUUUGGACCGGUAACAAGGACCACACGAUGGUCCCACAUUAAUCAAGCAUUGUUUCUUCAAAUUUUAAUAAAACAACUUGUUUAG